AAGACUAUACUUUCAGGGAUCAUUUCUAUAGUUCUUUACUUGAGAAAUGUGUUUCGACAGUGUUAGGUCUCGCUAUCCAUGAUGACGAGGUUUAAGAUAUUCCUUUCAGAGCAUGAAUCUGGUGGCUAGGAAUGACUUUGUUCAUUUUCCUUCCACCUUUGAUGACUGUUCUUUGUUCUUCAAUGGGACAUUGAUGAAGGGAUUAUGUUCUGAGUGGA